rnacentral:tRNA from 1 species
GCGGAUGUGGCGAAAUUGGUAGACGCACCAGAUUUAGGUUCUGGCGGGAGACCGUGGGGGUUCGAAUCCCUCCAUCCGCACCA